AUAAACACCGGAGUCGCUGAAUGAGUGGACUAGGUAGGCGCCCCUGAGUGGAUGAGCGUGGGUCUUGAGAAAAGUUAAACCGAAGCCUCUAAGUUGAUGACGGAAAAUGAUGAGCUGAGUGCCGCUGUGAUUGAGUCUGUUGGGCUAUCCCGAGGGUACCAAUGCUGAAAGUCGGUGGUCCCACUUGUGCAAGUUGCCUUACUAGAAGGAAGACUGUUGAAGUUUGAGGGAUUGGAAAUUGGAAUGCUGUCUAUCAGAAACUAAGAGUUUGCCUGUUCCUCGAGUCUUGUUGCAAUACCGGUGGGCGUUCCAGGAAUUUGGAAUACUUCAGGCUAAAAUUGGAAGAUGAGUUAAGGAGGACGAGACUCAAUUUUUAAACCUCCAAAAAUGACUGUAUUUAAAAAAAAUUGGUUUUAUAGUUUUCUAUUUCAAAGAUCUGAUAUGCAAAACGUCACGUGACAGAAGAUGAACUCUUUCCGUUGUCUUAAGGGUGUGUUGAUUCUUUCUCCACACAACAGAAUGUACCGGAAAACCACUAAUAUUGCAGCUAAAUGUAGCUUCCUGAC